rnacentral:lncRNA from 1 species
AUUUCAUCUGAAGGCUUUGUGGAGCUCCGACCGAGAGAAGACGAGAGUAGGCGGCGGAACGGUAGAGAAGGAAGGACGAUCGUCGAGACCAUCGAUUCGCUCGGUUUCACAUUCCCUGCAGCUAUUUCAGUAGAGAGAGUGAGACUUCUGAAGAUGGGUUUUGAGAGCUGGGCCCGGAUUUGUAAUUGGUGGACAAGGAAGGAGAUGGGCCU